ACACGGAGGGUGCAAGCGUUAAUCGGAAUUACUGGGCGUAAAGCGCGCGUAGGCGGAUAUUUAAGUCUCAUGUGAAAGCCCUGGGCUCAACCUGGGAACUGCAUGGGAUACUGGGUAUCUAGAAUACAGUAGAGGGUAGUGGAAUUUCAGGUGUAGCGGUGAAAUGCGUAGAGAUCUGAAGGAACAUCAGUGGCGAAGGCGACUACCUGGACUGAUCUUGACGCUGAGGUACGAAAGCGUGGGUAGCAAACGGGAUUAGAAACCCUAGUAGUCC
rnacentral:rRNA from 1 species